rnacentral:rRNA from 1 species
CUACGGGUUGCAGCAGUGGGGAAUCUUAGGCAAUGGGCGCAAGCCUGAUCUAGCCAUGCCGCGUGAGUGAUGAAGGCCUUAGGGUCGUAAAGCUCUUUCGCUGGGGAAGAUAAUGACGGUACCCAGUAAAGAAACCCCGGCUAACUCCGUGCCAGCAGCCGCGGUAAUACGGAGGGGGUUAGCGUUGUUCGGAAUUACUGGGCGUAAAGCGCGCGUAGGCGGACUGUUAAGUCGGGGGUGAAAUCCCGGGGCUCAACCCCGGAACGGCCUUCGAUACUGGCAGUCUGGAGUUCGAGAGAGGUGAGUGGAAUUCCGAGUGUAGAGGUGAAAUUAGUAGAUAUUCGGAGGAACACCAGUGGCGAAGGCGGAUCACUGGCUCGAUACUGACGCUGAGGUGCGAAAGUGUGGGGAGCAAACAGGAUUAGAUACCCCCGUAGUC